CAGCAGUAGCCGCGGUAAUACGAAGGGGGCUAGCGUUGUUCGGAUUUACUGGGCGUAAAGCGCACGUAGGCGGACUUUUAAGUCAGGGGUGAAAUCCCGGGGCUCAACCCCGGAACUGCCUUUGAUACUGGAAGUCUUGAAUAUGGUAGAGGUGAGUGGAAUUCCGAGUGUAGAGGUGAAAUUCGUAGAUAUUCGGAGGAACACCAGUGGCGAAGGCGGCUCACUGGACCAUUACUGACGCUGAGGUGCGAAAGCGUGGGGAGCAAACAGGAUUAGAUACCCCUGUAGUCCCUGUCUCUUAUAC
rnacentral:rRNA from 1 species